rnacentral:rRNA from 1 species
UACAGAGGUCCCAAGCGUUGUUCGGAUUCACUGGGCGUAAAGGGUGCGUAGGUGGUCGGGUAAGUCUGAUGUGAAAUCUCCAGGCUCAACCUGGAAAUGGCAUUGGAUACUAUUCGGCUAGAGGAGUGGAGGGGGGACUGGAAUACUUGGUGUAGCAGUGAAAUGCGUAGAUAUCAAGUGGAACACCAGUGGCGAAGGCGAGUCCCUGGACACUUCCUGACACUGAGGCACGAAAGCUAGGGGAGCAAACAGG